rnacentral:ncRNA from 1 species
CAAAAGGCUCUUUUCAGAGCCACCAAACUGUUGGGCAAAGAGCAUUU